CUUGCACCUGAUUGAUUUUGGUCGCCAACGAGUGGCGGACGGGUGAGUAACACGUAGGUAACCUGCCCAGAAGCGGGGGACAACAUUUGGAAACAGAUGCUAAUACCGCAUAACAGCGUUGUUCGCAUGAACAACGCUUAAAAGAUGGCUUCUCGCUAUCACUUCUGGAUGGACCUGCGGUGCAUUAGCUUGUUGGUGGGGUAACGGCCUACCAAGGCGAUGAUGCAUAGCCGAGUUGAGAGACUGAUCGGCCACAAUGGGACUGAGACACGGCCCAUACUCCUACGGGAGGCAGCAGUAGGGAAUCUUCCACAAUGGGCGCAAGCCUGAUGGAGCAACACCGCGUGAGUGAAGAAGGGUUUCGGCUCGUAAAGCUCUGUUGUUAAAGAAGAACACGUAUGAGAGUAACUGUUCAUACGUUGACGGUAUUUAACCAGAAAGUCACGGCUAACUACGUGCCAGCAGCCGCGGUAAUACGUAGGUGGCAAGCGUUAUCCGGAUUUAUUGGGCGUAAAGAGAGUGCAGGCGGUUUUCUAAGUCUGAUGUGAAAGCCUUCGGCUUAACCGGAGAAGUGCAUCGGAAACUGGAUAACUUGAGUGCAGAAGAGGGUAGUGGAACUCCAUGUGUAGCGGUGGAAUGCGUAGAUAUAUGGAAGAACACCAGUGGCGAAGGCGGCUACCUGGUCUGCAACUGACGCUGAGACUCGAAAGCAUGGGUAGCGAACAGGAUUAGAUACCCUGGUAGUCCAUGCCGUAAACGAUGAGUGCUAGGUGUUGGAGGGUUUCCGCCCUUCAGUGCCGGAGCUAACGCAUUAAGCACUCCGCCUGGGGAGUACGACCGCAAGGUUGAAACUCAAAGGAAUUGACGGGGGCCCGCACAAGCGGUGGAGCAUGUGGUUUAAUUCGAAGCUACGCGAAGAACCUUACCAGGUCUUGACAUCUUGCGCCAACCCUAGAGAUAGGGCGUUUCCUUCGGGAACGCAAUGACAGGUGGUGCAUGGUCGUCGUCAGCUCGUGUCGUGAGAUGUUGGGUUAAGUCCCGCAACGAGCGCAACCCUUGUUACUAGUUGCCAGCAUUAAGUUGGGCACUCUAGUGAGACUGCCGGUGACAAACCGGAGGAAGGUGGGGACGACGUCAGAUCAUCAUGCCCCUUAUGACCUGGGCUACACACGUGCUACAAUGGACGGUACAACGAGUCGCGAACUCGCGAGGGCAAGCAAAUCUCUUAAAACCGUUCUCAGUUCGGACUGCAGGCUGCAACUCGCCUGCACGAAGUCGGAAUCGCUAGUAAUCGCGGAUCAGCAUGCCGCGGUGAAUACGUUCCCGGGCCUUGUACACACCGCCCGUCACACCAUGAGAGUUUGUAAC
rnacentral:rRNA from 2 species